CAGCCAGAAGCACAGGCGCUGGUGAAAUGUAGAUGACGUCAGCCAGCAGCGCAGGCCCUGGUAUAAUGUGGAUGGCCUCGGCCAGCACCACAGGGCCUGGUGUGGUGAAGACGGCCUCAGCCAGAAGCACUGGCCCAGGUGCAAUGUGGAUGGCAUCAGCCAGAACCACAGGCCCUGGUGUAAAAUGGAUGGCAUCAGCCAGAAGCACAGGCCCUGGUGUGAUAUUGAUGGCGUCAGCCAGCACCACAGUCUCUGGUGUAAUGUGGAUGGCAUCAGCCAGCACCAGAGGCCCUGGGG
ensembl:lncRNA